UCCGUAUAUUAAUAACAUAUCUGAGCGUUUCCGGCUUUGCGUCAGAGAUCUUGAUAUCAAACUUUUCUACACUGGAAUAAAUAAUUUGCGCCGUAUUAUUUAAGUCGGCAAAGAUAAGAUGGAUAAAAAUCGCGCAGCAAUAUAGUUUACAAGAUCAACUGUAUGGAUUCCGACGCUUCUUACGUUGGACAAAUGGGACGCUUAUUAAGGACGAGGAUUAAAGAACAUAAAAGAAACCUUACGUCCGUCAUUGCCGAGCACAGAGCGCUAGAACAUACGUUUAAUUUUGACGACAUUGAGGUUUUGGAUGAGGAAACAUUUUUAGAAAAGAGACUAAUAUAGGAAAUGAUCUAUGUUAAGCGUCAAAAGAAUGCGUUGAAUCUCCAUAGUGACACCUUAAAAUUGAAUACUUCGUGUGUUUAUCGAUUAUUGAAAACAUGUCUAAAAUUUAAUAGUUUGUUGUUUGUUAGGACUGUUCUUGUCCUCAGUGUAUACGGAUUGUUUUUGUCGAUCACACUAUGAUGUCAUUUUAUCGUUAGCAUUCGAAUCUUUUUGCUUAGUCGGCUAUAUGCGUGGUGAGUAUUCGUGUCCGUUUCUGUUUCGUCUUCUCGAGUCCGAUGUAUCACUCUUUGGGCCUUGCACCGCUUAAAGGGCUACUUGUAUUUGGUUUCCUUCGAGUCCACUUGCCUUGACGAGUUCACGUUCACUCUCUAAGACUUUGCACAAUCACUGAAGAAGGCUCGAACUGAGUCCGAAACGUUUGAGGUCAAUAAAGAAGAAAGAUCGUUUAAUGUGAUCGUUUCAUGGAUUAUUUUUUUCUUCAAAAACACGCCUUACAACUGCGUUGGCUCUUUAUGG